rnacentral:tRNA from 1 species
UAAUAUUAUUUUGGCAGAUUAGUGCUUUAAAUUUAGAAUUUAAAUAUGUGUUAGUUAGUACACAGAUAAUA